rnacentral:rRNA from 1 species
UACGUAGGGGGCUAGCGUUGUCCGGAUUUAUUGGGCGUAAAGAGCGUGUAGGCGGCCGGGGUAAGUCCGGUGUGAAAACUCGAGGCUUAACCUCGAGAUGUCAUCGGAAACUAUUCGGCUAGAGUCCGGAAGAGGAGAGUGGAAUUCCUGGUGUAGCGGUGAAAUGCGCAGAUAUCAGGAAGAACACCAAUGGCGAAAGCAGCUCUCUGGGACGGUACUGACGCUGAGACGCGAAAGCGUGGGGAGCGAACAGG